CGACCCCACAGCCCCUCUCCCCACUCACCCCUCCAGGUCUCGAUUUUAUGUUCUUCAAUCUCAUAGAUCUGGACCUAGAGGCAUCGACAAGAUUCUGGUUUCAGAUGUGGACUUGGCAGGCACCAGGCUCCCUGAAGACCCCCUUCCACCCCAAUACUACUGGCACCCAGGGCUCCCUGCUGCUCCUUACCAGGGGGGACCUGUAGUAUCUGUGAAGCACCAGGAUGAAGUCUGUGAUGAGGUGCUGCCCGCACACCAUUGGCCACCAGGGCAAAGAAGGCCUUCUUGAUCUGAAGGAUGGGACAGAACAGUGGAUGGUCUCCACCACCUCCCAAUAGUCCGUUCAGCUGUGAAUCCACCAAUGGAUUAAUCCAGUGAUGAUGUCAAAGUCCUUCUGAUUCAAUCACUUCCCAAAGCUCUGCUGCUGAACAUUGCUGCAUUGGAGAUCAAGCCUUCAAUGUAUGGGCCUUAGUGAAACAUUCCAGAUGCAGAUCCAAACUGUAACAGCAGCCCUUUCAGCUGAAACUCAAGCCAUUUUAUUACUAAAGAAAAAAAGAAACAGACGUUAGGAGGCAACUGGCAGUCUCUGUUACAGAAGCUAUUAGAGAAAACACACGCGGGUGUAAAAGAAACUCCCUUUUCAUGAUUUUCAUCUUCAUGCUCAUAGGAAAAGACUCAGAGAAAUCAAGCAAAAUUUCCCAAGGUCAUUGGCAAGCAAAGGACUGAGCCUAAGCUGGAAUCAGGUCUGUCUGUCCCCAAAACAGACUUUUCAUCACAUCCAGCCAACAUAUUUUGGCCAUCAAGGGGCCCACAGUUGAACUGGAGAUGAAUAACAUUUGCUUAUGAAACAGUUGGGUGAAUACCAGCUCAACUCUACUGAGAUGGACACGCAUUGUAAGGAAAUGCAACUUGGAUAAUAGUCAGGGAAGACUUCCCGGAAGAGGAGGCCCUGCUUCUGACCCUGCAGGAAGUAGCACAGAGAAUGGAGCAUGGCAGUGGUGUGAGCUGAGUCUGCUCUGUGCCUGUGAAGGUGACUCAGAGCAUAAGGGGGCAGUGGGCAGAAGCUGGAGGUGUGGGCUCUCUGGGUCCACUGCAUCGUGUGUCCUUGUGGAUGGUUCAGAGAACCUGUAACUCAUGGAAACUGGUAGGAAACACUGAGACCACUGGUGCAUGUUGGCUGUAACUUACUGCUUCUAGCAAAGUUCUACAAGAGCUGGCACUAGGGCUACCUUUGGAAGAAGGUGGUACCUGGGCUCCCAGCCCAUUCUCGAGCCCAUCCUUUUCAGCAGACAGUGGGAACCAGCUCAGUGGGCAGACAUCAGAAGAAGGGAGUUUCCUUUACACCCACGUGUGUUUUCUCCAAUAGCUUCAAGAUUGCCACCACCUUAUGGAGAAUAAGAAGAAUACAAAUCCAGAGUAUUCCUGCAAUAAAUAUUUGAACCCAAUGGUAGAAGAUGCAGGACCUCCCCAUCCUACCAUGGCCUGCCUACCUAUCUCUGUCAGUUUUGUGUCACUAUAACAGAAUACCACAAACUAGGUAAUUUACAAAGAAAAGAAAUUUAUUUCAUACAAGAUCAAGGGUCUACAUCUGGCAGAGCCCUUUUGCUACAUCAUCCUGUGGCAGAAGGCAAAAGGCAAAAGAGCCUGCAUGGAGAGAGAGAGAGAAAGAGAGGGCAAUCUGUUCAUAACAGAUCCACUCUUGAGAAAAUGUUUUCCACUCCAUGAAAACACCAUUAAUCCAUUCCUGAGGCCAGAGCCCUCAUGACCUAACCACCUCUUAGAGGCAGCAUAUCUCAACACUGUUAUUUUGGAGAUAAGUUUCCAACAUAGGGUAUAAAUAUGUCACACUAAACUCUACUGUCAUCUAUAACUAAGAAGAACAUUUAAAAAUAUUUCCGACAUAUGAACUUUUGGGAGACACAUUCAGAUCAUAAUCCUCCCCCACCCCCACCUACUUCUGGACUGUUAUGUUAAAAAUAAACUUCUGUCUUAUGUAAGCCAC